UUAAGCGACUAAGCGUACACGGUGGAUGCCCUGGCAGUCAGAGGCGAUGAAGGACGUGCUAAUCUGCGAAAAGCGUCGGUAAGGUGAUAUGAACCGUUAUAGCCGGCGAUGUCCGAAUGGGGAAACCCAGUGUGAUUCGUCACACUAUCGUUAACUGAAUACAUAGGUUAACGAGGCGAACCGGGGGAACUGAAACAUCUAAGUACCCCGAGGAAAAGAAAUCAACCGAGAUUCCCCCAGUAGCGGCGAGCGAACGGGGAGCAGCCCAGAGUCUGAAUCAGCUUGUGUGUUAGUGGAACGGUCUGGAAAGUCCGACGGUACAGGGUGAUAGUCCCGUACACCAAAAUGCACAGGCUGUGAACUCGAAGAGUAGGGCGGGACACGUGGUAUCCUGUCUGAAUAUGGGGGGACCAUCCUCCAAGGCUAAAUACUCCUGACUGACCGAUAGUGAACCAGUACCGUGAGGGAAAGGCGAAAAGAACCCCGGCGAGGGGAGUGAAAAAGAACCUGAAACCGUGUACGUACAAGCAGUGGGAGCACCUUCGGGUGUGACUGCGUACCUUUUGUAUAAUGGGUCAGCGACUUAUAUUCUGUAGCAAGGUUAACCGUAUAGGGGAGCCGCAGGGAAACCGAGUCUUAACUGGGCGUUAAGUUGCAGGGUAUAGACCCGAAACCCGGUGAUCUAGCCAUGGGCAGGUUGAAGGUUGGGUAACACUAACUGGAGGACCGAACCGACUAAUGUUGAAAAAUUAGCGGAUGACUUGUGGCUGGGGGUGAAAGGCCAAUCAAACCGGGAGAUAGCUGGUUCUCCCCGAAAGCUAUUUAGGUAGCGCCUCGUGAACUCAUCUUCGGGGGUAGAGCACUGUUUCGGCUAGGGGGUCAUCCCGACUUACCAACCCGAUGCAAACUACGAAUACCGAAGAAUGUUAUCACGGGAGACACACGGCGGGUGCUAACGUCCGUCGUGAAGAGGGAAACAACCCAGACCGCCAGCUAAGGUCCCAAAGUCAUGGUUAAGUGGGAAACGAUGUGGGAAGGCACAGACAGCCAGGAUGUUGGCUUAGAAGCAGCCAUCAUUUAAAGAAAGCGUAAUAGCUCACUGGUCGAGUCGGCCUGCGCGGAAGAUGUAACGGGGCUAAACCAUGCACCGAAGCUGCGGCAGCGACACUAUGUGUUGUUGGGUAGGGGAGCGUUCUGUAAGCCUGCGAAGGUGUGCUGUGAGGCAUGCUGGAGGUAUCAGAAGUGCGAAUGCUGACAUAAGUAACGAUAAAGCGGGUGAAAAGCCCGCUCGCCGGAAGACCAAGGGUUCCUGUCCAACGUUAAUCGGGGCAGGGUGAGUCGACCCCUAAGGCGAGGCCGAAAGGCGUAGUCGAUGGGAAACAGGUUAAUAUUCCUGUACUUGGUGUUACUGCGAAGGGGGGACGGAGAAGGCUAUGUUAGCCGGGCGACGGUUGUCCCGGUUUAAGCAUGUAGGCUGGUUAUCCAGGCAAAUCCGGAUAAUCAAGGCUGAGGUGUGAUGACGAGGCACUACGGUGCUGAAGUAACAAAUGCCCUGCUUCCAGGAAAAGCCUCUAAGCAUCAGGUAACAUCAAAUCGUACCCCAAACCGACACAGGUGGUCAGGUAGAGAAUACCAAGGCGCUUGAGAGAACUCGGGUGAAGGAACUAGGCAAAAUGGUGCCGUAACUUCGGGAGAAGGCACGCUGGUGUGUAGGUGAAGUCCCUGCGGAUGGAGCUGAGACCAGUCGAAGAUACCAGCUGGCUGCAACUGUUUAUUAAAAACACAGCACUGUGCAAACACGAAAGUGGACGUAUACGGUGUGACGCCUGCCCGGUGCCGGAAGGUUAAUUGAUGGGGUUAUCCGUAAGGAGAAGCUCUUGAUCGAAGCCCCGGUAAACGGCGGCCGUAACUAUAACGGUCCUAAGGUAGCGAAAUUCCUUGUCGGGUAAGUUCCGACCUGCACGAAUGGCGUAAUGAUGGCCAGGCUGUCUCCACCCGAGACUCAGUGAAAUUGAACUCGCUGUGAAGAUGCAGUGUACCCGCGGCAAGACGGAAAGACCCCGUGAACCUUUACUAUAGCUUGACACUGAACAUUGAGCCUUGAUGUGUAGGAUAGGUGGGAGGCUUUGAAGCGUGGACGCCAGUCUGCGUGGAGCCAACCUUGAAAUACCACCCUUUAAUGUUUGAUGUUCUAACGUUGGCCCCUUACCGGGGUUGCGGACAGUGUCUGGUGGGUAGUUUGACUGGGGCGGUCUCCUCCCAAAGCGUAACGGAGGAGCACGAAGGUUAGCUAAUCCUGGUCGGACAUCAGGAGGUUAGUGCAAUGGCAUAAGCUAGCUUGACUGCGAGCGUGACGGCGCGAGCAGGUGCGAAAGCAGGUCAUAGUGAUCCGGUGGUUCUGAAUGGAAGGGCCAUCGCUCAACGGAUAAAAGGUACUCCGGGGAUAACAGGCUGAUACCGCCCAAGAGUUCAUAUCGACGGCGGUGUUUGGCACCUCGAUGUCGGCUCAUCACAUCCUGGGGCUGAAGUAGGUCCCAAGGGUAUGGCUGUUCGCCAUUUAAAGUGGUACGCGAGCUGGGUUUAGAACGUCGUGAGACAGUUCGGUCCCUAUCUGCCGUGGGCGCUGGAGAAUUGAGGGGGGCUGCUCCUAGUACGAGAGGACCGGAGUGGACGCAUCACUGGUGUUCGGGUUGUCAUGCCAAUGGCACUGCCCGGUAGCUAAAUGCGGAAGAGAUAAGUGCUGAAAGCAUCUAAGCACGAAACUUGCCCCGAGAUGAGUUCUCCCUGAGACUAUAAGUCUCCUGAAGGAACGUUAAAGACGAUGACGUUGAUAGGCCGGGUGUGUAAGCGCAGCGAUGCGUUGAGCUAACCGGUACUAAUGAACCGUGAGGCUUAACCUU
rnacentral:rRNA from 1 species